rnacentral:rRNA from 1 species
GAUGAACGCUAGCGGGAGGCUUAACACAUGCAAGUCGAGGGGCAGCACGAGGUAGCAAUACUUUGGUGGCGACCGGCGCACGGGUGAGUAACGCGUAUGCAACCUACCCUGUACAGGGGGAUAACCCGGAGAAAUUCGGACUAAUACCCCAUAAAGAUAUUUAGAGGCAUCUUUGAAUAUUUAAAGUUCCGGCGGUACGGGAUGGGCAUGCGUAACAUUAGCUAGUUGGUAAGGUAACGGCUUACCAAGGCAACGAUGUUUAGGGGUCCUGAGAGGGUGAUCCCCCAGGCUGGUACUGAGACACGGACCAGACUCCUACGGGAGGCAGCAGUGAGGAAUAUUGGUCAAUGGGCGCAAGCCUGAACCAGCCAUCCCGCGUGAAGGAAGAAUGCGCUAUGCGUUGUAAACUUCUUUUCCAGGGGAAUAAAAUUUUGUACGUGUACGGAAUUGAAGGUACCCUGGGAAUAAGCAUCGGCUAACUCCGUGCCAGCCGCCGCCGUAAGAC